CGGGUGAGUAAUGCUUAGGAAUCUGCCUAUUAGUGGGGGACAACAUUCCGAAAGGAAUGCUAAUACCGCAUACGUCCUACGGGAGAAAGCAGGGGACCUUCGGGCCUUGCGCUAAUAGAUGAGCCUAAGUCGGAUUAGCUAGUUGGUGGGGUAAAGGCCUACCAAGGCGACGAUCUGUAGCGGGUCUGAGAGGAUGAUCCGCCACACUGGGACUGAGACACGGCCCAGACUCCUACGGGAGGCAGCAGUGGGGAAUAUUGGACAAUGGGGGGAACCCUGAUCCAGCCAUGCCGCGUGUGUGAAGAAGGCCUUAUGGUUGUAAAGCACUUUAAGCGAGGAGGAGGCUACUAGUAUUAAUACUACUGGAUAGUGGACGUUACUCGCAGAAUAAGCACCGGCUAACUCUGUGCCAGCAGCCGCGGUAAUACAGAGGGUGCGAGCGUUAAUCGGAUUUACUGGGCGUAAAGCGUGCGUAGGCGGCCAUUUAAGUCAAAUGUGAAAUCCCCGAGCUUAACUUGGGAAUUGCAUUCGAUACUGGAUGGCUAGAGUAUGGGAGAGGAUGGUAGAAUUCCAGGUGUAGCGGUGAAAUGCGUAGAGAUCUGGAGGAAUACCGAUGGCGAAAGCAGCCAUCUGGCCUAAUACUGACGCUGAGGUACGAAAGCAUGGGGAGCAAACAGGAUUAGAUACCCUGGUAGUCCAUGCCAUAAACGAUGUCUACUAGCCCGUUGGGGCCUUUGAGGCUUUAGUGCGCAGCUAACGCGAUAGUAGACGCUGGGGAGUACG
rnacentral:rRNA from 1 species